rnacentral:lncRNA from 1 species
GAUUUUUUUUUUUUGUUUUUUUUAUCUUUCAUGAGGACAAGAUAAAGUUUAAAGUUUAGGGUAUUUUGAUAGUUGAUAUGAUCAUGAUUUUUAUUUUGUUUAUUUUUAUCUUUUAUUGGUAUUUUUAUUUAUUAUUUUUCAUAUCAUUAAGGUUUUAUUUAAUAGUUUGAAAAAAAAAUAAGUAUUUAGUUUAUAAUUUUGC